rnacentral:rRNA from 1 species
AUUGAACGCUGGCGGCAGGCCUAACACAUGCAAGUCGAACGAGUGGCGGACGGGUGAGUAAUGUCUGGGAAACUGCCUGAUGGAGGGGGAUAACUACUGGAAACGGUAGCUAAUACCGCAUACCAUCGGAUGUGCCCAGAUGGGAUUAGCUAGUAGGUGGGGUAACGGCUCACCUAGGCGACGAUCCCUAGCUGGGUUGAGAGGAUGAGCAGCCACACCGGAACUGAGACACGGUCCAGAAUCCUACGGGAGGCGGCAGUGGGGAAUAUUGCACAAUGGGCGCAAGACUGAUGCAGCCAUGCCGCGUGUAGGAAGAAGGCCUUCGGGUUGUAAAGUACUUUCAGCGGGGAGGCGUUACCCGCAGAAGAAGCACCGGCUAACUCCGUGCCAGCAGCCGCGGUAAUAC